AUUGAACGCUGGCGGCGUGCCUAACACAUGCAAGUCGCACGCGAAAGGGGGCAACCCUGAGUAGAGUGGCGGACGGGUGAGUAACGCGUAGGAAUCUACCUGGUAGUGGGGGACAACCCGGUGAAAACCGGGCUAAUACCGGAUACGAUCCACGGAUGAAAGCAGGGGACCGCAAGGCCUUGCGCUAUCAGAUGCGCCUGCGUCGGAUUAGCUAGUUGGUGGGGUAAAUGCCCACCAAGGCGACGAUCCGUAGCUGGUUUGAGAGAACGACCAGCCACACUGGGACUGAGACACGGCCCAGACUCCUACGGGAGGCAGCAGUGGGGAAUAUUGGACAAUGGGGGCAACCCUGAUCCAGCAAUGCCGCGUGUGUGAAGAAGGCCCUCGGGUUGUAAAGCACUUCCGGUGGGGACAAACAAGGUGGAGCUAACAUCUCCGCCUCUGAUGGUACCCAAAGAAGAAGCACCGGCUAACUCUGUGCCAGCCGCCGCGGUAA
rnacentral:rRNA from 1 species